GACAGAGGGUGCAAACGUUGUUCGGAAUUACUGGGCGUAAAGCGUGUGUAGGUGGUGAGGUAAGUCAGGUGUGAAAGCCCGGAGCUCAACUUCGGAAGUGCACUUGAUACUGCUUCGCUUGAGUACUGGAGAGGUUGGUGGAAUUCUCGGUGUAGAGGUGAAAUUCGUAGAUAUCGAGAGGAACAUCGGUGGCGAAGGCGGCCAACUGGACAGAUACUGACGCUGAGACACGAAAGCGCGGGGAGCAAACAGG
rnacentral:rRNA from 1 species